CAACGAUUAAAACCCUACGUGAUCUGAGUUCAGACCGGAGUAAUCCAGGUCAGUUUCUAUCUAUAAAGAGCUCUUCCCAGUACGAAAGGACCGAAAAAGCAUGGCCUCUGUAAUAUCUAAGCCCUAGCUAACAACUUAUGCCUCAAACUCAAUAAAAACUUAGCCUCCCACCCACCUCAAAAAUAGAGCA
rnacentral:rRNA from 1 species